UACGGGGGGGUAAGCGUUGUUCGGAAUUACUGGGCGUAAAGGGCUCGUAGGUGGCCAACUAAGUCAGACGUGAAAUCCCUCGGCUUAACCGGGGAACUGCGUCUGAUACUGGAUGGCUUGAGUUCGGGAGAGGGAUGCGGAAUUCCAGGUGUAGCGGUGAAAUGCGUAGAUAUCUGGAGGAACACCGGUGGCGAAGGCGGCAUCCUGGACCGACACUGACACUGAGGAGCGAAAGCCAGGGGAGCAAACGGG
rnacentral:rRNA from 1 species